rnacentral:SRP_RNA from 1 species
GCUGGGCGUGGUGGCUCACGCCUGUAAUCCCAGCACUUUGGGAGGCUGAGGUGGGAGGAUCACUUGAGGUCAGGAGUUUGAGACCAGCCUGACCAACAUGGUGAAACCCCAUCUCUA